GCCAUCUUGCUAUUUCUUGCAGAGAAGCCCUAUUUUCGUGUUCGUCAAAGCUUCAGAAACCCUAACAGAGCAAUCGAAUAGCUCUUCUUCGAUUCUUCCCGCAUCCAGUGUUGAUUCGUCCCUCCACCACCACGGAAAAGGGUUCAGGUGCUGAUCCCCGCCACUACACUGCCGGAGGAAACAACAACAAGACAGAUGAAGCUCGCGGACCUCCCUUGAGCCGAAGCAGAUAGGCUUGAACUCUCCUUCGAUUCCACCCAUUCUUGGUCCAUUGAUUGACUGCUCGUUAGUUAUUUCCACCCAUUUGACUGAUUGGCGAUGUUUCUUUCUGCAGAAGAAGCAGAUCGUCGACCCGAACUCCGAAAAAUUCAAAUUUAGGGCUUUGUCGAUUGAUUCCUCUACUCGAAUCGAGAAAGUCUCCGAGCUUGAGAUCACUGUUCGGGAAGCGGUUGCUGUGGCGGAGGAUCCUGUUCGCAUCCAGGAAAGGGAAGCAUCAUUCUACUCAACCUCCUAAUAGUCAUUUACGGCAAGAAUCGCAACAUCUCUUUUUCAUUCCAUGCUGAAAAUUACUUGAACAUCAAGGGGUUGUUGGAUCUGACUUGCCAAACAGUGGCGGAUAUGAUCGAGGGCAAAACACCGGAGGAGAUAAGGAAGACAUUCAACAUCAAGAACGACUUCACGCCUGAGGAAGAGGAAGAGGUUCGGAGGGAGAACCAGUGGGCCUUUGAAUGAUUUCUGCAUGGAGCUAAUACACACGGAGUUCUCCCUUGGUUAGGGCUUAAUGAGAGAUUAUAGCGAACGCUGUAUGAACUAUCGAUUGUCCUUCUGGUUCUUAGGAUAUCUAUCUUUAUGUUGUUCUGACGCACUUGUUGAUGCUGCACUUGUGACUAUGUCCUUGUAUAUUCUGAGAUGAUGGUUAUAUUGCAUCUGUUAUUGCUUUUCU